rnacentral:Y_RNA from 1 species
GGCUGGUGUGAAGGUAGUGAGUUAUCUCACUUGAUUGUUCAUAGUCAGUUACAGACUGAACUCUUUGUUCUACUACUUUAUCGUCUUCUCGCUACUGCACUUGACUUAUCUUAA